GACGAACGCUGGCGGCGUGCUUAACACAUGCAAGUCGAACGGAGAGGCCCUGCUUGCAGGGUACUCGAGUGGCGAACGGGUGAGUAACACGUGGGUGAUCUGCCCUGCACUUCGGGAUAAGCCUGGGAAACUGGGUCUAAUACCGGAUAGGAGCCAUUCUGAGUGUGAUGGUUGGAAAGUUUUUUCGGUGUAGGAUGAGCUCGCGGCCUAUCAGCUUGUUGGUGGGGUAAUGGCCUACCAAGGCGGCGACGGGUAGCCGGCCUGAGAGGGUGGACGGCCACAUUGGGACUGAGAUACGGCCCAGACUCCGACGGGAGGCAGCAGUGGGGAAUAUUGCACAAUGGGCGCAAGCCUGAUGCAGCGACGCCGCGUGGGGGAUGACGGCCUUCGGGUUGGAAACUCCUUUCGCUAGGGACGAAGCUUUUUGUGACGGUACCUAGAUAAGAAGCACCGGCUAACUACGUG
rnacentral:rRNA from 1 species